rnacentral:rRNA from 1 species
AUUGAACGCUGGCGGCAGGCCUAACACAUGCAAGUCGAGCGAGCGGCGGACGGGUGAGUAAUGUAUGGGGACUGCCCGAUAGAGGGGGGUAACUACUGGAAACGGUAGCUAAUACCGCAUACUAUCGGAUAACCCAUAUGGGAUUAGCUAGUAGGUUAGGUAAUGGCUCACAUAGGCUACGAUCCCUAGCUGGUCUGAGAGGAUGAUCAGCCACACUGGGACUGGGACACGGCCCAGACUCCGACGGAGGCAGCAGUGGGGAAGAUUGCACAAUGGGCGAAAGCCUGAUGCAGCCAUGCCGCGUGUAUGAAGAAGGCCCUAGGGUUGUAAAGUACUUUCAGUCGGGAGGCGUUACCGACAGAAGAAGCACCGGCUGACACCGUGCCAGCAGCCGCGGUAAUAC